ACACCGCCCGUCACACCAUGGGAGUCAGUUGCUCCAGAAACGGCUGCGCUAACCCGCAAGGGAGGCAGGUCUUUAAGGAGUGGCUGGUAACUGGGGUG
rnacentral:rRNA from 1 species